CGCCGGCGUGGGAGGGAGCGACCGGGGCGGCACGCCCCGGCCCGGCCCGGCCCGGCCCCGGCCCCUCAGCCCGCCCGGGCUCGCCUCAGCGCCGGGGCCGCCUUCGCAAGCGCUGGUUUUAAAACUUCUCCUCAGAAAAGCGCUUUAACGUAGAAACUUUUGGCUGGAGACCAGGACGUCGUGAGGCACAGGUGGCACUCGAUAAUAACUCUGAAUGUCUUCAUCAGCUGCUGCUGCUGCUGCUACACCCAGACAAGCCAUCUGCCACCCAGGAAACUACAUACUACUUAGAACACCCCAGUGAUGUCAGUCAACACCUUCUUAAAUGCUUGCCAUCUGGCCCAUGAAGGAGUCUUUCUGCCAGCCCAGUUUGAGGAGAGCAAUAAGAUGGCUUGGUGGACUCCUGGUGGCCAGCCAAGGUCAACCCACCACACUAUCAGGCUGAUGUUAUGGAAAUCUUGUGAUGAACUUCAUUUAAGUUGGAUUCAUUUUUAUCCCUGUGAAGAUUGUGACAUGGCCAAGAAAUGGAAGUGUAUUCUUAUCCAGAUUGUGUUUUUCUCUGUGUCUGAAGGACGUUUGCCAAACUAUUUGGUUGUUGGUCAGAAAUUGGAAGAGCUACCAGAAUAUGCUCCCCUAAUACUUAUGAAUUACAUGAUUUCAAGUAUCAUGUUGCUGGCUUUUGAAAUAGUGCUAAGGUAUCUAAAUAACUAGUAUGAUCCAGAAAUUAACUAAAUUGUGAAUCCAAUCAGUUACAGUGAAGAUCAGCUACCUUAGAACACUGUGGUUCCUCACCAAUGUUACACAGAAGGUGUUCGUGGCAAGUCAUCUGUGAUUUCAGACUCCUAGAAAGAAUUUGAGAAUAUGGAUCACAGAUAUCCAGUGCAGUGGCCGAUAGUCAUCUGCACUGAUAAAAGCGUUUGGGAUGAAAUCUUGGCUCUACUGAGGUCAAUGCAAGUUUGCUGCUUAAUAAUAAGACCAUACAGCUGAAUGAGGAGGGUGGUUCUCUGGGGUUUUUUUGGUUGAUUGUGCGCUAAACCAAAUUAGCCAUCAAGGUGUUACCAGCUAUGGGAAACAAUAAAAUCUCUUGUUCUGCUCUCUGGGAUUUCCUGUUAUUGCAUGAAUGAAAAACAAAGAAAAUGGACUCUGUAUCUUGGAAUCUCCAAAAAGGUAACUGAGGCCAGUGAAAAUGUCUGCUUCUUUCAGGAGAUUUUGGUGUGGUUAUGAGUCUUGGAGAUCAGUUUGAGUUCACAUACCAUCUAAGAGAGCAGUUAUAAAAUUAAGCCACUCGAGGUCAUGUCAGUGCUGCUAGGCGCUACACAGCCACGCAUCUUGGUGCUGGGCCAUUGUACAGAGCCUGUCUUGGGAGAUAUCCCAAGGAUACCUGCUGAGUAUGAAAGGAGCACUCGGCCAAGAAAAGCAGGAAGAAGUGUUACUCUGAAAUGGGGGAAUGGAUGCUAUUUGUUUUCUGGUUUUAAUCCAUAGAAGUCCAAGAAAGAGAACCAAAAAAUGAAAGAGUAGGAGGACUGAACUUGAGGGGAGUAAAAGUAUCUUUUUACGUCAAGAACAGCCAGAGCAGACCACUGUUUAAAGCUUGGAACUUCAUUAUUCUUGGUCCAGCUGGCAGUGUUAGAAGAGUCCUCCUGACUCCUGGGUAUCCAGAGAAGUUUGGAGAAAUGCAGGGUUUCCCAUUUCCACUCUUGCAAAAGUAACAAUUUCCUUGCCAGAAGCACUGACUAGGGGAUCUUGGCACAAUGCAGUGAGACAAACUGCAAUGCUGCCUGAAGAAAAGAGUAUCAGCCAUGGGCUUUUUCCAGUGGCCAGUGACAAGGGGAGCAGAGAUUACAGUUCUCAAGAUAAACUGAAGCCAUUGCCUCUUCCCUGCCAUAGCUGAUCAAGGCUAAAGUGUGCUUUGAUAUUGCAGUGAGACCAGGAAAUCCUUCUAUUUGUAUUCUUUUCAGCACCUUCUAGUAACCAAAAAGACAUGCAAGGGAUCAUCAAAUGGCACAUGAAGACCAAGAGAGAAACAUGGGGCAAGAAAAGGCACUUUUCUGGAGAAAAAUUGAAGAUUGUGGGAGAUAAACUGAUCUCCAUUUUGUUAAUUGUGUUGAAUUCACAAGGUAAACCAUAAGCCUAUAACUUUAAUAAGUAAUAUUCUUUGUUGUAAUAUGUAACACUCUUUAUAAACUGUUAUUUCUCUCUUACCACUUUGCCUUUCAAGUCAUUUUUAAUUUUAAAGUUUUCUGUCCAAGUGAGCACAUAUCUGCAUGCACAACCUAACCUCUUUACCCAUGUAUUUAAAUGUUUUUAAAAAAUUAUAUACAGGGAGAAAAUAACCAAAACAAUAGAAACAGAUAGUCCUGGAACCUUAACACAACAUUUUUUUGUUUCCUUGAAAAGUAUUUGCAGAUUUGCUGAAGAAAAACAUGAGUUCACAAAGACUACAGAUUCCUACAGGAGUAAUGGGAAAAAAAUUCUAACUUGAUGCAUUUCCCAUUUUCUUAAACUUCCAACCAGAUUUUUCCAAAGCUGAACAGUAACACCUAAACACUGGCAUACACUUGCAGGUUUGAUUUAGUUUUCAAAGGUCAGUUCUGUGCAACUAUGUGCUUUGGAAAUCCGUUCGGGGGCCACAGAUACUGUUCUUAGUAAUCAAAUGAAGAUGGACAUUUAUGCCUCUAACUGAACAUUCCACAAACUUACAGAGAAGUCCACACCUAAAUAAGUUUAAUAUUAAGUAUUGUGAUAUUCUGGGAUUCUAUACAUUUUAUUACUUCUUAGACACAUUUAGUUAAUUAUUGUUAUCAAUAAAAGGUAUAUUUAACAAGAUAUAUCAUCUCCUAACUACUUAGAUCUUCUGGAUUAGGCACUGUUAUUUAUAGUAUAUGUUAUUAUUUGCAUUUGUUUUUCUGGAUAACUGUUACUGCACAAGGAACCUGUGCUGCUGUUCUGUAGAAGUGUAUAAAACACCCUGCGUUCCCCUGCAAAUGAAUGAAUUCCUGGGUCUCUCCCCUGAGAACUGCUUUCUACCACACCUUCUCUAUCUGUGUUAUGCCUGGCCGGUCUCAUUCUCCUUGCUUAUCUGCUCCCAGACUCUACUCUUCAGGUUUUUGACCCCUCCUAGCUUUUUUUGUUUUGGAGUUUCCAUGUUCUCAUUUAGAGACUGAACGCUGGCUGUUUUUAAUCCAGAUAGUCCCAGUUCCCCAACCACACCCCAGCUGUCAGCACGGACAUAGGCAACCACUCUGCGUGGCAAUGUAGCAGAGUGGGCAUGAACAACAUAGAACUGCUUGGCUCAGAGACCAGGGAUUGCUCCUUGGAGGAGAUGACAUAAUCCAUGAAUUUGUAGCCUCUUCACAUCCACUUGGCUCCCAGGUUCCUCUUCUUGCCUUGAUGCAAUUAGUGGUAACUAUUGGCUUGCCCAGUGAGUCCUACUACUUUACAAAAUGAGUGUCAUGUACACAGUAGUAUAGGAGAAAAACCUCAAUUUCUCACCAAGCCCAGGAACAGUAAGGUUAUGCUAAAAGAGAUAACUUAUCUUAACACAUCAAGGAGAGAGAUGUCCCUCAAGCUCACAGACUGUGCGGUCAUACAGGAUCAGCUUUCUAAUUCUGCAGUUACUUAAGUAUUUAGUCAAGCGCAGCUGUAUUGCAGAGUAGUAUUUCCAUUUCUAGGUUGUUGGUGUAGCCACAUUCUUCAUAGGUGGCAGCGAGGCAAGAAAGUAAUUGUAAUUUAGCAUCUUGAAAGUUGGCAUACACUUUUAUGUCAGCUUCCCUUUUUCAGCUAAAUGCUCUUUCAAAAAUCUUCCGUGUUAGACAUGGAUGAAAAUAACGUAGAGACUGGAGGAGUUUUUUAGAUAGGAGUCAACAGAAACAAAAAUCCUGCUCUACCUCUGCACACUACAAGCAAUAUUUAAAUAUUCCAGGCAUUUUCACAACAGAUUGAGUUGGAGGAGAUCUGGACUCAACACAAACCAUAAUCUUCCUAAUGGCAUUUUAAAUUCGUUGAGCACACUGGCAGCUAGCCAGUUGUCUGACAAUAUUACAGGAAAGGGUCAGAAUGACCUAGACACAUGCAGGAAAACGAAUACCUUCUCAAGACAUUCUGCUUGGGAUAAUGAUUUUGGAAACUACAAGGAAUGGAUCAUGUCACAGCAGUGAACUUAGGAGGGAACACCUGGGCUAAUCAUUGCUACAUUUAUUACAGAUACUUCCCUCAUUGCUGCUACCAAGAAAGAGCCCUAAAAGGCUGAAUGCUGUAUAAGUGGAAAAGUUUGACAGCAUGUGUCUGGGAACACGGUUGCCUUCUGGCUCAGAAUAGUAACUGUCAGGCAGUAACACCUCAGGGUACCAGUGUGGCCUUUCGGGCUCAAUGGGAAGCACUGUGGUUCCAAAGUGCAGUAUCACUUUCAGACUGGGAAAGAGCAAUUGUGAGGGAUAUAACUGAGCUCAGUUACUACCAGGCUGUGCUGAACAGAAGUGAAGGCCAUAAGGGUAUGCUGUGGCCUGAAAACUGCAGUUUAGCACAGUUCCAUCCCAGCUAUUCGGGGGACAAAAGCACUCCCAUCAGCCAUCUGAUCCAUUUACUUUUCUUUCUUGUGUCUGUGACACUAAAUGUUUGAGAGAAGUCCCAAGAAAUCCAGAACAAAACACUCAGUGUGGCACGGUAACCAAAACUAUUUUUCUCCUCCUCUUGCUUCCAAGGCUGUGAGCUACAUGGUGAUGUUUCCUUUCCUUUGCCAUCCACUUGUAACACAUAAACAAAGCAACCACUCUUCUGUUGCAAUGUGUCUGAGGCAGCUGUAAUCACCAUGCUGACUGACAGUAAUUGGUAUUUGCUUUGGUCAGCUUUAAAAUCAUUCUAAUUAAAGCUGUCUUCCUAGUCCCAUAUUGAAAGAAACACAGUAUCUGGAGGCAAGACCACGUUGUCAAGCCCCCAGGGCAAUCUUUAAUAAAUCCUCAGGCACCAAUGCCUGCCUCCCUCAGAGCUGGCAACAGUAGCCUCCAUGCUCCAAAAUAACACUUUGUCAUAUUCUCUAGCCUCUUGUCAUCUCAAUGUGCAUCAACGAUUCUACUAGUAGGACAAGGAAAGCUUAUUAUGGAAUCAUAGAAGCAUUUAGGUUGGAGAAGACCUUUAAAAUGCCAAGUCCACCACUAAACCAUGUCCCUAAGUGCCACGUCCAUACAUCUUUUAAAUACCUCCAGGAUGCUGACUCAACCACCUCCCUGGGCAGCCAGCUCCAGUGCUCAACAACCCUCUCAGUGAAGAAAUCCCUCCAAACACCCAAUCCAAACCUUCCUCAGCACAACCUGGGGCUGUUUCCUCUUCUAUCGCUUGUUCCUUGGGAGAAGAGACUGACACCCACCUCACUACAGCCUCCUUUCAGGUAGUUCUAGAGCUCCUCCUGAACCUCCUUUCCUCCAGGCUUAAAUGACCUCAGCUCCCUCAGCUGCUGUUCACAGGACCUGUUCUCUAGACUGCUCACCAGUUUUCUAUAUAUAAAGCAAAGAACAGGAUAUUGAUUAAAUGAUAAAAAUAUUUUUGCUCUUAGGCAGAACCGACGACUUCAUGCUCCUUCAGUUGCAGAGACAUUGGUAGCAAAUCAGCUUAUAUUGUUGACUAGCCAUUCAUGUGAUAGCCAAAGAUAUUUACUAUUUUUUCUGACAUCUCCUUUCUCCAGUACUUCACCAGAGCACUUUCCUGAACACACAUAACAUCUCCAGAGACCUGUAGAAUGGGGCAUAGAAAAUACUGAAAUAGGAUGAAGUAGGGAACACAGCAUGCAGUUCCUCAAGUAUGGGCUUUAUUCAGGACAUUGGAAUCAAUACAGGAUGCCUAAUAAAGUCUUUAAUUAUAGCACAGUUUAACAUUGUCUUAAAGUACCUCCAGCAGCUUGUUGCCACCCAUGUUAAGUUGGUUCAUUAUGGAAUCAGCAGAAAGUGCUCACCCUUCUGAAGCAUUAGCACAUGGCCUGCCCAGCUGGCUCAGCUGAGUGGUGUCCAUUCAGUCACUCACUAGCUGCUCACUUUUGGUAGGAUGAGAUUGGAGUCAGAGGCUUCACAAGAACAGAAUGUCUUUGUCUUGUAACCUGUCUGGUCAGC